UCCCGCUGCCCUCGGCCUGAGCAACUUCAGUGCUGGCUAAUCAGACGACACCAUUCUCGGGUUGCUGAUCUUUAUGGAAAGUUUUAACUGUGGAAGAGAAAGGAAAAGUCUUAGCUUUAGAAGCUAGGCCUGCCUUGAGGGAGUGGCAGACAGGUUGAGGGGCCUGGAUUUCUAAGAAGUAGAGAGGAGGCCGAGGAACAUAACAGGUCCUGAGGGCUUCUGCACCCCAACCAGUUCAGCCCAGCACGGCUGCACCCAACACGUCCCUUGGAAGGGAAGAAGCGGAGGAGCUUCAAGAUGGUGGAAGAGUAAGACGUGGAGAUCACCUUCCUCCCC